CGUAGGCCAGCAAGUCGUAACGCGGAAGAUCCGGACCCUUAUCUCAAAAGAAUAUUCUAGUUUCUGCAAAUACAUGAGUCCCCCCUCUUAUUUACAAUCCUUCUUCGUUUUGUUCUUCUAACAGCUUCACUCGCUAUGGAUUCCCAGCUACGAUCAUCCCUGCUAUUUUUUAUCAUCACGUUUAGCCUCGCAAUCUCACUCCACCCCGCCGUUGCCACCACCGAAGCCUACCCCACCACCCCGGGAGCUGGUUCUGCCGAAUGUUCACUUGCCGGCUCCGACGAUGUUCUUAUCCCUCCUCGUCGAGAAGUCCAUGGCAAUGGCCGAAUCUUCGAUAUCAGUCACAAGUACGUCCCCGACAUGCCAGUUUUUGAGUCUAAGGAUGGCCUUGGCCACUUCCUCUGGCUUCAAAAGAGCAUGAAAAACGGUUCUCUUGCUAAUAACUCGGAAAUGAAGAUCCCAACUCACACAGGCACCCAUGUUGACGCUCCGGGGCACGUCUUCGACCACUACUUCGAUGCCGGGUUUGACGUCGAUACACUCGAUUUGGAAGUCCUCAAUGGUCCUGCACUAUUGGUUGAUGUUCCAAGAGAUACAAACAUAACUGCUGAAGUUAUGAAGUCGUUACAUAUUCCAAGGGGUGUAGGUCGCGUGCUCUUCAGAACAUUGAAUACUGACAGGCGGCUGAUGUUUCAAAAGGAAUUUGACACAAGUUAUGUGGGAUUCAUGGUGGAUGGAGCAAAAUGGUUAGCAGAGAACACUGACAUCAAACUUGUAGGUCUUGAUUAUUUAUCUGUUGCUGCUUAUGAUGACCUGAUUCCAUCUCAUCUAGCUUUUCUUGAAGGGAGGGAAAUCAUUCUCGUGGAAGCUCUGAAGCUUGAUGAUGUCCCAGCAGGAAUAUAUUCCAUCCAUUGCUUACCUCUUAGGUUGGUUGGUGCUGAAGGAUCACCGAUUCGAUGCAUUCUAAUCAAAUAAAUGUGGAACAUGCAAGUUUGAGGAGGAAGCAGGUUAGAUCUAAAUGCUAUAGACGUUGAUCACCAGUUUGGUCCAUAUAGAGCGAGAUGGACUGGAGGGCCAGGCAAAAUUUGGCGGAGAUAGAUAGCCCAAGUCCUAAUGUGGGUACGUAGCCUGGCCCUUCUUUACACGAAAACAAAGCAAAAGUCGGCUAAAUCAGGCCCAGAUUGAGCAAGCGAUAAACUCGUUUAUUUUUUUCACCCUUGUUCAAGUUACCUUGGCUUUGGAAAAAUCUCAGCUUAUAGUUGUGACUGAGAAAGAAGGAACCCAAAUGAAUAAGAGCAAUCAACAACAACACUGAUUAACUAACAAGCAAGAAAUUAUUCAUGUGAUAGGAUAUUAGAUCAAUUAUCAAAUAUUAAUGGUUAUAUUCAAAGCAAAAACCAAAAUAAUCCGAAGUAUUGAGCAUGCAGGGACGAUCUUCCCAAAUUUCCCACUGGCACGUAUCGCAGAGCCUAUCAUCUCUCCAACCAAUGUAGAUAUCAAACCAUUUAAUAGUGCCACCAGGCCAUUGGAAGCUGCAAUAGUACUGCGUCCUGUCAAAGAAGUUCGCACGGAAUGAGAACUCAUAGUGCUCUCCAUAACCAAGACGGUGGACGUCAAGAUCGUUGUCUGCUGACUUGCAAUGAAGGGUCAGACGCUGAUGGUGCUGUAAAUAGUUGAAUAUUUUCACAUGCGUUUUCGUUAACAUUAAGAACCCUUCCACUCCCACCUUCAUCUUCCAGUUUGAUGGUGCCAAUAACAGCACUGACAGUAUUACCAGGAAUUUUUGGCCGUUGUUAAAUAUUGGACGAGACAUUGUUACUUCUUAUUAUAUAUUCUGUCCGUAGGUUCCGUCCGAAUUUGUGUUAUAGUAUAUAAAGCUCACUGGGAGAAACUGAUAUGAUAUGGGAUUAGGGAGGAGAGUUACCUUCUGAAAGAUGUUAUGGGUUUUUGUUUAAUUAAUGAAGGUCAGGUUUAAUGA